rnacentral:rRNA from 1 species
AUUGAACGCUGGCGGCAGGCCUAACACAUGCAAGUCGAGCGGAUGAAGGGAGCUUGCUCCUGGAUUCAGCGGCGGACGGGUGAGUAAUGCCUAGGAAUCUGCCUGGUAGUGGGGGAUAACGUCCGGAAACGGGCGCUAAUACCGCAUACGUCCUGAGGGAGAAAGUGGGGGAUCUUCGGACCUCACGCUAUCAGAUGAGCCUAGGUCGGAUUAGCUAGUUGGUGGGGUAAAGGCCUACCAAGGCGACGAUCCGUAACUGGUCUUAGAGGAUGAUCAGUCACACUGGAACUGAGACACGGUCGAGACUCCUACGGGAGGCAGCAGUGGGGAAUAUUGGACAAUGGGCGAAAGCCUGAUCCAGCCAAGCCGCGUGUGUGAAGAAGGUCUUCGGAUUGUAAAGCACUUUAAGUUGGGAGGAAGGACAGUAAGUUAAUACCUUGCUGUUUUGACGUUACCAACAGAAUAAGCACCGGCUAACUUCGUG